AAAAUCAAUGAAUUUAUACGUAGUUUUGAGCGGAGAAGGAAUGUGGUAGUAAAUAGCGAAUUUGUAGUCGUGGAGGAUACUUCCAUUCGCCAUGAAUUCGUCCAUGAAUUGCGAGGGGAAGUUUUAAGAGCAAUUUGAAGGAGCAUACAAAAGCUUUUGAAAUGCUGCACGGGUAAGUAAUUGACGAACUUCAGAUUUCAGUGUCAAUUUAUGAGCGAUCAUUUUAGUUUGGAAACAUUUUCUUGUCGAUGCUGGUUUCUAAGAAAAAAAAUUAAAGAUCUAUAGCUUAUACAUUGUACAAUGUUGAAGAAUAUGUUAUAAUCAAUCUAUUUCACCCUAGAGCCA